rnacentral:rRNA from 1 species
UACGUAGGGGGCAAGCGUUGUCCGGAUUUAUUGGGCGUAAAGAGCGUGUAGGCGGCCAGACAGGUCAGCUGUGAAAACUCGAGGCUCAACCUCGAGACGUCGGUUGAAACCGUCUGGCUAGAGUCCGGAAGAGGAGAGUGGAAUUCCCGGUGUAGCGGUGAAAUGCGCAGAUAUCGGGAAGAACACCCGUGGCGAAGGCGGCUCUCUGGGACGGUACUGACGCUGAGGCACGAAAGCGUGGGUAGCAAACAGG